rnacentral:rRNA from 1 species
UACGGAGGAUGCGAGCGUUAUCCGGAUUUAUUGGGUUUAAAGGGUGCGUAGGCGGACUGUCAAGUCAGCGGUAAAAUUGAGAGGCUCAACCUCUUCCCGCCGUUGAAACUGGUGGUCUUGAGUGGAUGAGAAGUACGCGGAAUGCGUGGUGUAGCGGUGAAAUGCAUAGAUAUCACGCAGAACUCCGAUCGCGAAGGCAGCGUACCGGCAUCCAACUGACGCUGAGGCACGAAAGCGUGGGGAUCAAACAGG